AAAACCAUUGCUAAAGGGAGAAGAUGACCUGUAAACUAAAUUAACACACACCACCUAGGCAUUCAAUGUGCCUUAAACCUCUGGAAGGAACCCCAAAAACUCUGACUUUAUACAACAUGACUCAAAACAGUGAAUAUGAUUAAUGGAAACUAUCACCCACGAGACACGACGACAUGGAUACUACAGUGACCUCAAGAAUGCCUGGGGCUUCAGACGCAUAAAAGAAUGAUCCCUCCUUGCAAACACAGAG